rnacentral:rRNA from 1 species
CCUACGGGAGGCAGCAGUGAGGACUAUUGGUCAAUGGCCGGAAGGCUGAACCAGCCAUGCCGCGUGAAGGUCAGUGCCCUAUGGGCGUUUAACUUCUUUUUUGCGGGAGCCAUAUUUGUCAAGUGUGGCCAGACGAGAGUUCCCUUCGAAUAAGCAUCCGCUUACCUCGUGUCCGCAGCCCCGGUUAUACGGGGGAUGCACGCGGUUUUCGGAUUUAUUGGGUUUUAAGGGGUCGGAGGCUGGGAGGUAAGUCAGCGGUUAAAUGCUCCGGGUCAAAGGGGUGAAGUGCCGUUGAUACUGGCUUGCGGGAAUGCGGAUGCGGUAGGAGGAAUGUGUGGUGUAGCGGUGAAAUGCAUAGAUAUCACGCAGAACACCGAUUGCGAAGGCAUCUCACGAAGCCGCAAUUGACGCUGAAGCACGAAAGCGUGGGUAUCAAACAGGAUUAGAUACCCGAGUAGUC